AAGAACGAACAAGAAAGAGAGGCGAGCAAUCUAAAUAUCACUCGAAGGUGGAGUUCUGAAUCACACAAGGACAGCGCGUAUUUGCGCGUGUUCGAGAGUAGCUAAAGCUAGAUGUAAAACAAAACUCAAGUCGUAAACAAAAGGGACUCCGACAAAAUAAAGGGGGCGCAGCCCCUGGAGUCCGGAGGAGGCGCCACGGCAGGAGGGAGGCGCGCGCGACCAGGCGGAGGGCCGCGGCUCCCAACCCUAGGCGCCCCACCUGGGCUGCCCUGUUGGGCCAUCUUCUUAUUCCGCUGGGCCUUCGUUCCUUAAUAGCAUGAUGAAGUUUAAUUCUCUCGCACGGGCCCGAGUGAUUGGCCCAACUGGAUGAUCAACUGUAGGCGCCGGAGGUGGAGGAGCAACUGGAGGCGCCUGAGGUGCUGCUGGUGUAGAUGUACUCGUGGUGUCCUCAUCAUCCUCCCCUUCUUGAACUGAAGUCAUCCUCGACGGCAACUCCUCAUCUUCGCCCACAUACAGUUUCAAAUCUGCAACAUUAAAACUCGUGGAAACACCAAACUCCGCAGGCAGGUCAAGGAUAUAAGCAUUAUCAUUAAUCUUGGUUAGCACUUUAAAAGGACCAGCAGCGCGUGGCAUCAAUUUAGAACGACGUAAAGUAGGAAAACGAUCCUUUCUCAAAUGCAACCAAACCAAAUCACCCGGUGCAAAAGUAACAUGUUUUCUUCCUUUACUACCCGCAACCUGAUAUUUAGCAUUAGUAGCAGCAAUGUUUUGUUGAGUUUGCUCAUGCAAGCUAAUCAUUUGAUCAACAUAUGCAGCGGCAUCUAUGUGUGGGGCAUCCUCGGCAUCAAGUGCAAACAAAUCAAUAGGCGCCCGAGGAAUAUAACCAUAAACAACCUGAAAGGGACACAUCUUGGUAGAAGAAUGUGUUGCAUGAUUAUAAGCAAACUCAACAUGAGGCAAGCAAUCUUCCCAAUGUUUCAAGUGUUUAUCUAAAACAGCCCUAAGCAUGGUGGACAAGGUUCGAUUAACCACCUCAGUUUGUCCAUCAGUCUGAGGGUGACAAGUGGUGCUAAAUAGCAAUUUAGUUUCCAUUUUAUUCCACAGUGAUCUCCAAAAAUGACUGAGAAACUUAGCAUCACGAUCAGAGACUAUUGUAUUUGGAAUACCAUGCAAACGAAUAAUCUCGCCUCGCGAAAGAACAAUGCAGCAACAUUGCUAGCAUCAUCAGUCUUAUGACAAGGUAUAAAAUGAGCCAUUUUGGAGAAACGAUCAAAAACCACAAAAAUACUGUCCCUCCCCUUCUUAGUUCUAGGCAAUCCCAAAACAAAGUCCAUAGAAAUAUCAAGCCAAGGGGAAGUAGGAACAGGCAAAGGCAUGUACAAACCAUAGUUGUUCAAUCGUGACUUAGCUUUCUGGCAAGUAGUGCAGCGUGCAACAAGGCGCUCAACAUCAACGCGCAUCCGGGGCCAAAAGAAGUGGGCAGCCAGCACUUCAUGCGUCUUGUAGAUGCCAAAGUGCCCCCAUGAGACCGCCUCCAUGCGCUUCCUGUAACAACAAACGACGAACCGAGCUAGCUGGAACACACAGCUUGUUAGCGCGAAAUAGAAACCCGUCCUGUAUGUGAAAUUUGCCCCAUGGUUUGCCAUGAAUACAAUGGGCGAAAGCAUCUUUAAAAUUAGCAUCAUCCACAUAUUGAUCCUUCACAGUUUGCAAGCCAAAGAUUUUAAAAUCUAACUGUGACAGCAUGGUAUAGCGACGAGACAAAGCAUCAGCAAUGACAUUUUCCUUCCCGCUCUUGUGAUUAAUAAUGUAAGGGAAAGACUCAAUGAAUUCUACCCAUUUAGCAUGACGACGGUUCAGGUUUGUUUGGGUGCGAAUAUGUUUUAAAGCCUCAUGAUCAGAAUGAAUUAUAAACUCGCGAUGCCAAAGGUAGUGCUACCAAGUAUGCAAAGUGUGCACUAAAGCAUAAAGCUCCUUAUCAUAAGUAGAAUAAUUCAAGCUAGCACCACUUAAUUUCUCGCUAAAGUAAGCAACCGGUUUUCCUUCUUGUAACAAAACAGCACCUAGCCCAAUACCACUAGCAUCGCAUUCAAGCUCAAACACUUUAGUAAAAUCAGGCAACUGCAAGAGAGGAGCAUUGGUUAACUUAUCUUUCAAGGUGCUGAACGCAACCUCUUGCGAAGUACUCCAAGCAAAGGGAACAUCCUUCUUUGUAAGCUCAUGUAGAGGCGCUGCAAUGGAGCUAAAAUCACGAACAAACCGGCGGGAGAAACCUGCAAGGCCAAGAAAGCUUCGAAUUUGUGUGACCGUCGUCGGUGUAGGCCACGCCCAAAUGGCAUCGAUCUUGCUACUAUCCACCUCAAUGCCCUGUGGAGUAACAACAUAGCCAAGAAACGAGACACGUUGUGUGCAAAACAUACAUUUUUCCAGGUUAGCAAAUAAAUGGGCCGCACGCAACGCAUCAAAAACAGCACGCAAAUGAUCUAAAUGCUCUUCCAUAGACUUGCUGUAAAUGAGGAUAUCAUCAAAAUAGACAACUACAAAUAAUCCUAUGAAGGGCCUUAGAACUUCAUUCAUCAAACGCAUAAAUGUGCUGGGAGCAUUUGUCAAACCAAACGGCAUAACCAACCAUUCAUAUAACUCAAAUUUCGUUUUAAAAGCCGUUUUCCAUUCAUCACCUAAUUUCAUGCAAAUCUGAUGGUAGCCACUACGCAAAUCAAUCUUAGUGAAAAUAAUGGCACCACUAAGCUCAUCUAGCAUAUCAUCAAGGCAUGGUAUAGGGUAUCGGUAGCGAAUGGUAAUGUUAUUAAUAGCACGACAGUCUACACACAUACGCCAUGAGCCAUCUUUCUUUGGAACAAGUAACACGGGAACGGAGCAAGGGCUAAAAGACUCAUGAAUAUAACCCUUGUCAAGCAACGCCUGUACCUGGCGCUGGAUUUCCUUCAUCUCAUCCGGAUUUGUACGGUACAGUGCGCGGUUCGGAAGCUGUGCGCCGGGAAUGAGGUCGAUCUAGUUCUCAAUGCCACGAAGUGGUGGGAGUCCCGGUGGAAAAUCUUUUGGAAAGACAUCAGCGUACUCCUGCAAAAUGUUAGCAACCGCAGGGGGAAUAUCCAAAGAUGGUGCAUCAUCAAGUGAAACGAGCACACUAGAGCAUAUAAGGGCAUAGCAUGGCAAAGGAGCAUCGCCUAACUCAUCAAAAUCAGCACGCGUAGCAAGCAAAACAGGAGCAUUCAACUUGAUUUCAGAAUUAACAGAUGUCGAUGCGUCAAGUUUUUUAGCAGUUUUAGCAGCUCUAACAAGAUCAUUUUUAAGAAUUUGUUCAGGUGUCAUUGGAUGUAUAAUUAUUUUCUAACCCUUAAACAUGAAAGAAUAGUGAUUUGAACGACCAUGAUGCAAGCUAUCAAUAUCAUAUUGCCAAGGUCGCCCAAGUAACAAAGAGCAUGCUUCCAUGGGAAUAACAUCACAAUCGACAAAAUCAGAAUAAGCACCCAUGGAGAAAGGAACACGGACUGAUCGAGUAAUUCUAAUUUUCCCACCAUCAUUAAGCCAUUGAAUGUGAUAUGGAUUUGGAUGCUUACGAGUGGGUAAAGACAACUUUUCAACCAGCGUGGUACUCGCCAAAUUGUUGCAGCUGCCGCUGUCGAUGAUGAUGCGAAUCGACCGCUCCUGCACAACACCCUUGGUAUGGAAAAGAGUGUGUCGCUGAUUCUUCUCGGACGGGGCGACCUGUGUACUAAGAACACGCUGCACAACAAGACUAUCAUACCUAUCGGCGUCGCCCGGGUUGACAUGUACCUCCAUAGCUGCAUGGUCAGUGGCAAGCAUCGCAUGUCGAGUAUCUUUAGAAUCACUAGCGGAAGAGUACUCACCAUCGUCGCGAAGAAGCAAAGUGCGCUUGUUCGGACAGUCCCGAAACACGUGGCCAAAUCCUUUGCAACGAUGACACUGAAUAUCCCGUGUAUGGCCUGUGGGAGGGACGGCGCCUAUGGAAGGGGCAGCGCUUGCAGGUUUGGCCAUUCUCUCGCGCGGUGUAGUGGUGGCCGUGGGUGGCGCAGGGAGAGCGGGUGCGGAGUUGGAUGUCGAGCUUCUUCCUGCAAAAGAGUUAGAAUAUGUCUUCGAGCGGCGUCCCUGCACUUCACGUUCAGCUUUGCAAGCAUAUUCAAAUAAUGUUGUCAUAUCUGUGUAGUCCUUAUAAUCAAGUAUAUCCUGAAUUUCGCGGUUCAAACCACCACGAAAACGUGCCAUAGCAGCGUCGUUUUCGUCCAAUAACCCACAACGAAUCAUGCCUAUUUGUAAUUCCUAGAAAUAUUCCUCAACAGAUUUGGAACCUUGCUGAAAACGUUGCAUUUUAUUAAGCAAAUCUCGGGCAUAAUAAGAAGGCACAAAUCUAUGGCGCAUAGCAGCUUUUAAUUGAUCCCAAGUGGUUGGAAUGGUAUUGGGAUGUUUGUGUUUAUAUUCACGCCACCAAAUUAAAGCAAAAUCAGUAAAUUCACUAAUAGCAGCUUUAACUUGAGAAUUAGCAAGAAUAUCAUGGCAUGAAAAUUUCUGUUCAACUUCUAAUUCCCAAUCAAGAUAUGCAGCAGGAUCAUAUUUGCCAUUAAAAGGUGGAAUUUUAAAUUUAAUCUUGGAAAAGGAAUCAUUACCAGGACGGCGUGGCACGCGGCGGGCACGGCCUCGGCGGUCGCCAUCGUCCUGUUCCGAGUCACCACCAUAACCCUGCUGCAACUCUGUGACUGUGGUGUGCAAUGCAUCAAGGCGUGCCACAACUGUGUCGAGUGUGGCCUUAGCGGCCGUCUGUGCAAGGUCUAGCUGAUCGCACCGCUCGGUCGUCGAGGAGAUCGUCGAGUCCAGCCGUUCAUGAACCGUCUGAAUGUCCGUGAAAAGCCCUUCAACUUGUGCCCGUUAGCGCAAAGACAAGAACAAAACCGACGACAAAAUAGGGGUGCAACGGCUCACAAGGCGCUCACACUAGUGCUGUUAUCAAAUUCUUAUCCGUUCUUACCACGCACACAGGGGUGAACUGCAACCAACCGGUGGACCUCGUGAAAGAUUGGAGGAGCGAUUGCCUGGAGAAACAAAAUCUGCUCGUCGUAGAACUAUGUGGAGUUUUGGGAAGGCUGCACUCAAAUGAAGGAUUAGCACAAUCAAACAAUAAUGCAAAGUUGAAAUAUAGUGCCAAACACGUAACAAGAGUUGCUGGUAACAAGGGAAACCGAAAGAACAGAGGCAAAGAAACGGCCAAGGUGGAGAGGGCGCACCUCGUUUGUUUUUCUGUUUUUUUUGCAGGGUGCCCCAAAACUAAUAAUAUGAACACAGAGGAUCUCAAACAGCAAAUUGCGGCACACACUUUUUCCGAAAGUACAGGGGUAUUCCGGUAAAAAAAGAGAGAUACGGAUAUGAAAAGCUGGCACUUCCGUGGGGAAGGGCGCGGUAUGCGUGGGGGGGUGUGGAGUUGCCCCGGAGGGUCGUGACCCAAGGGGGUUCACGGCGCGCGCAAAGGAAGUUUCCACCGAAACAAAACCGGAUCACCUUCCUUCUCCCUGUUGGAUUUUUUUCCUUCUUUCCUUUUUUUUUUGCACUUUCCUUUUUUUUAUUGCUUUCUAUCUUUUUUUUGGACAGGGGAGGGGGCGAUCGGAGGGGUGGGAUGGCGCGGCGCGGUUGUCGCGAGGGGGGGCGGUGGGCGCGGUGUGGUAGGAUUGGCGAGCAGCGGAACGGCGGCGGCAAAAACUAGGGUUAGAAGAAAAACAAGAAACAAGAGAUUAAACACAAGUAACCAGCAACAAUUGAACGAGUAGGUACACAAAUUCAACAAAGACACUUAUUGAAAGAAUGUGCGAGGCUAAACGGUUGCUGGGACAAGGAUCUAACCUGAAAAAAAUUUGUUUUGGUUUUUGUGGACUGUAGGAAGGGAAAAACACUCGGUAAAACUCACCGAUCAACCUGGAAAGCUGAUACCACUUGAUAGAGUUGGAGUGCCCGAUCUUUCGGUGAGUGGAGAUAAAUUCAACUUGGUGGAAGUAGACCCUCACGAUCCGACUACGACGAGCGAACUCGAAGCGCCAAUGCAAUCGCUGAACCAACUUCCUGUGGUUACCAACCUUGCUAGCGCAAGAUCAGCCUGAUCACGAAGAUCGAUUCCUGUUCGCAAUCGAAGAACGAACAAGAAAGAGAGGCGAGCAAUCUAAAUAUCACUCGAAGGUGGAGUUCUGAAUCACACAAGGACAGCGCGUAUUUGCGUGUGUUCGAGAGUAGCUAAAGCUAGACGUAAAACAAAACUCAAGUCGUAAACAAAAGGGACUCCGACUAAAUAAAGGGGGCGCGCGCGACCAGGGGGAGGGCCGCGGCUCCCAACCCUAGGCGCCCCACCUGGGCUGCCCUGUUGGGCCAUCUUCUUAUUCCGCUGGGCCUUCGUUCCUUAACAGCAUGAUGAAGUUUAAUUCUCUCGCACGGGCCCGAGUGAUUGGCCCAACUGGAUGAUCAACUGUAGGCGCCGGAGGUGGAGGAGCAACUGGAGGCGCCUGAGGUGCUGCUGGUGUAGAUGUACUCGUGGUGUCCUCAUCAACAAGCGUCAUGGUUGUUGUUGAUCUUCUGACGGAGGUUGUGCACUGAGCGUUCAAGUUCU
rnacentral:lncRNA from 1 species